GAUUUGGUGGAUGGUGGUGCAUGGCCGUUCUUAGUUGGUGGAGUGAUUUGUCUGGUUAAUUCCGAUAACGAACGAGACUCUAGCCUAUUAAAUAACACACAGAAUCAUGUCUUCUGCGGUGUUUCUUAAUGGGAUCAAGUGUGUUUAACACUUUGAAACAGAGCAAUAACAGGUCUGUGAUGCCCUUAGAUGUUCGGGGCCGCACGCGCGCUACAUUGAAAGACAAAAUGAGCGUUUCUGGUUUUUAACAAAACUAGUAAUCUUUGAAUGUUUUUCUUAAUG
rnacentral:rRNA from 1 species